CAUUCAUAAAUUUGGAUUUUCAGCUUUCAAAAUGACACUUUAAUUUAUUUUCAGAGGGCCAUGGCUGAGAAGAACCUUUUCGAUCUUCAUCCUAGCUUUUAUGUCUCAUGUAGGCAAUGCACAGUCUAUGGCCCACUAAUGUAUCCACAGCAUGCCCACUGAUCCUCACUCACUCAGUGUAAAAGGGCUUACUUAAUUUUUUUCCAGGAAGAGAUGCAGAAUGGGGAAGAAAAGUGAACCUUAACAUUUGCCAUCUAUGAAUAACACAUUAAGAAGAUUCAAAGACCGGCCCAGUAUAUUCCUCUCCAUGGAGAAGCUGUACACGUGUCACAAAAAAGUUGGCAGGAGCUAGGGCUGACAGCUGGAGCUCACCCUGAUUCACAGAUUCAAACUACCAACCUUCAGGUCAGCAGUUCAACAGCACAAGAGUUUAACCCAUUGCACCACCAUGGCCCUCCCCAAUCCCCUCCGGUGACUUUGUGGAAGAUGACAUGCUACUGCAUUGUAAUUCCAACUGGAUAUAGGACAUUUGAAUUUGUAUGACAUUGUAUGAAUGGGAUAUACACUAAAAUCUGCCUUGUAAUUUAAUAUACAUUCUCAUGUGUUUAACCUAUAUCUAGAUUUCAUAUUAAAAAGCAUAGUAGAUAAUCAUGAAACAAUUAAGAGUGUGCUGCCUUUUCAUGACACUCAUGAUGAGGCCAACCACUAAUAGCAGUAUUGACCGACCACACAUUAUCCAUUUGAGUUCUUUCAAAUGAGCAAAUGAGAAGUGUGAACAUCCUGAAACAAUAACAUGCUAAAAAAUAAACAGAUGGUUAAAAAGUGAGCUGUGACAAUAAGACAUCAUAAAUUCCUCUGUGUGAAAAGAUCAUUGAUUCUUUUCUCACGUUGGACUGCCUAAGAUACAAAGGCAUAAUUGACCUGCCUUUUUAUAGGGCAUUCUCAUAAAUCUUUCAUAGCUGAAUCACUGCUUAUGUUGACAAUAUAUUAUGGACUCAAUAAAAAAGAUCUUGUGCCUGGUAGGCAUGUGCCAUGAUAGGAAAGGGUGCUGCUAUAUUGCUUUCUUAAAAGUGCUAAGUCCUUCAUAGUUUUCAAAUCUAUUUUUUGAUGCUAACUCUCUUUACUUUGGUCCUCAGAAGGGUAAUGAACUACAACAAGGCUUUGGAACUAAAAAUGCAACUUUUACAAGACAGCUUCCCAAACACUGGAUAGUCGUGCUGGAUUUACACUAACACAUCAAUAUUGCAAUACACUGGUUUGUACUUCAUUUUGGAAACAACUCUUUGGCAGUCAAAUUGAUUUAUUUAUAUUUAAGUAAUGUAUGAUGUAGUCCGUAUGAGUUCUGGACAGAACAUAAUUCUACAAAUACAGAUUCUCUUUUUAUCAACAUGCAGCUUGCCUUUCAAAUCUGUGUGAGUGUAAGGUAACCUAAGAGACUUCAAAAAAGCAAAGAAACACAAACCAGGCCCUGGGUUUUACUCAAUUGUUUACAGGAAUAGACUUAACUUGAAGAAAGUAAUUUAUUCUGGACACAACAGCAUCCAUAUGAGGAAACUGCUACCAUGGCUUCUUACUCAACACUAUAACUCCAGCCGUGUUAGAAAUCUUUGGUUAUAAAGGACAGUGUACAUUAUGGAUAUAAUAGAAAGCAGGAACCGAGUACUUUUGGCCCUCCAGACAUUGAUGAAUUAUG
rnacentral:lncRNA from 1 species